rnacentral:rRNA from 1 species
UACAGAGGUCCCAAGCGUUGUUCGGAUUCACUGGGCGUAAGGGUGCGUAGGUGGUGGGGUAAGUUUGAUGUGAAAGCUCCGGGCUUAACCCGGAAAUGGCAUUGAAUACUAUCUCGCUUGAGGGUUGGAGGGAGACUGGAAUUCUUGGUGUAGCAGUGAAAUGCGUAGGUAUCAAGGAGGACACAGUGGCAGAGGCGAGUCUCUGGACAACUCCUGACACUGAGGCACGAAAGCUAGGGAGCAAACAGG